rnacentral:rRNA from 1 species
GACGAGCCCACCCCAACGUUAUUCGGAAUCACUGGGCUUAAAGCGUGCGUAGGCGGCCUGCAAAGUUGGGUGUGAAAUCCCUUGGCUCAACCAAGGAAUUGCGCCCAAAACUAGUGGGCUCGAGGGAGAUAGAGGUAAGCGGAACGGAUGGUGGAGCGGUGAAAUGUGUUGAUAUCAUCUGGAACACCGGUGGCGAAAGCGGC